GACGUAGGGCGCGAGCGUUGUCCGGAUUUAUUGGGCGUAAAGAGCUCGUAGGCGGCUUGUUGCGUCGGCUGUGAAAAACCCGCAGCUCAACUGUGGGCUUGCAGCCGAUACGGGCAGGCUUGAGUUCGGUAGGGGAGACUGGAAUUCCUGGUGUAGCGGUGAAAUUCGUAGAUAUCGGGAGGAACACCAGUGGCGAAGGCGGCGAUCUGGGAAGAUACUGACGCUGAGGUGCGAAAGCGUGGGGGAGCAAACAGG
rnacentral:rRNA from 1 species